rnacentral:rRNA from 1 species
GACGAACGCUGGCGGCGUGCUUAACACAUGCAAGUCGAACGGUAAGGCUCCAGCUUGCUGGGGUACACGAGUGGCGAACGGGUGAGUAACACGUGGGUGACCUGCCCUGCACUUCGGGAUAAGCCUGGGAAACUGGGUCUAAUACCGGAUAGGACCGCACCGUGAGGGUGUGGUGGAAAGUUUUUUCAGUGUGGGAUGGGCCCGCGGCCUAUCAACUUGUUGGUGGGGUAAUGGCCUACCGAGGCCGCCACAGGUAGCCGGCCUGAGAGGGUGGACGGCCACUUUGUGACUGAUACACUGCCCACACGCCAACAGGAGGUACCCUUGUGGAAUAUUGUCUUUUGGGCGGAAGUUUGAUGAACCGACACCCCUUGGGGGAUGACGGCCUUCGGGUUGUCAAAUUUUUUCCCCUUGCACAAAAUUUUUCUGAGCUGCCUCCCGAAGAAGCACCGGCCGUGUCUCUGCCCCCAUGUGCGCGAAUACCCUCGGUGGUAGCGUUGUCCGGAAUUACUUGGCGUAACAAUACCUCACGUGGUUUGUCAUACCCUCUGUGAACUUCCAGGACUGAACUCCGGACCUGCCUGUCAUACAAGAAUCACUUGAUUCCUGAAAGGGAGACUGAUUAGCAUGGUGUUCCGAUUGAUAGCCCCCAUAUCAGGAGGAACUCCCCUGGUGUUACUCACCCUCUGGCCACUAACUGACGCUAAAGAGCGAAAGCAUGGUGAGUGAGUUCGACUUGAUACCCUGAUAGUCCCCGCCGAAUUUCAUCCUGAAUCUCGAGCUAAUUCAUACCGUGAACCCCGCGGGGGAGCUCAGGAUUAUGCAUUCGUUCCACUUAGAGAGGGGUUACUAU